AAUUAUAUGUAUCAUUGUUUUGUGAAGAGCACACAAAUAAAAUAGCUUUUUCAAGUAGAUGAUAAUUUUCAGUCAUUAAACAAUUUGUAUCAUAACCUUUUCCAACAAACUUAAUUGUCCUUUAUAUUUUAUGUAAAGUGUAUACACGUAGUCCUUAAUUUUAUCUUCUUUAAUAUAAUGCACAGAAAGGAUUACAUAUUCUUUUAUUUGUAAUGAUGACUCAAUAAAGUUAUUUUUUUUUUACUUUAUGAGGAAAUAGACAUGUCAUCAAAAACUGUGAUUGAUUUCAUUUUUGCUCAUUUAUGAAUAUCUAGUGAGAGCAUGUAUAGUUUUCUUUGCUGCCAAGGGGCACUUCUUGCCUGAGUUUGUGACAAGUUGUGUUAAAUGUUGGAAUAAAGUCAUUUACUUUUUGUUGCUAGGUUGGUUUCCCUGUGGUGAGGGGUGGAGGUGAGAUGCACAGGUUGUAUAGAUGUGUCAAGAACUGUGUGACAACAGUGACUGCCACAGCAGCAGGAGCCUUGCCUUUGCCCAGUAUGUCAAGUGCUAGUUUUAACGAUGAGCAGUGGUGAAUACGUUUUUCAUGACAAGAAGUUGUGUGUUGUGUGUUGCUGGGUGAUAUGGUGUCGGCGAGACCGAUGCCAGUGGCUUUUGAUUAGCCUGUGGGCCCCCGCACGGUGAGAGGCCGGUGUCAGCUUGCGACGCCAGGGACGGAGCGCGGCACCUGGGACACCAUGUGGGACACCUCGCCCGUGCCGGGGGGGCGACCCACAACCACAACCGGAGGAGCUCGGGCUGCAAGGCUGGUGGCUCCGUCUUCCAAGGCUCCACACCUCCCGGAUCAACGCGCAGAAUUUCACCAUGUGUGAUGAGAUCGGCGGAGAUGGUGUCAGGAUGAUAAUUUGAGUAGCAAAACCCAUGAUGCAGAAACAGUGGUUUGUGCUUCUGUCAAGACGAAUGCCGAGGCGAGUUCUGCACAUCGAAGUUCUGCACAUACUGUAUUGUCUAUUUUAAGUGGUGCUUUGGUUACUGGAAACCGUUUACAUUUGCACUGACACUUAAUAGUAAAGAUUAGAGACGAUCAUCAAACAUCAAACACUGUGGCUGACAGCCAAGAAAACCAUGAAGAAACUGAGGAGCAUGGCUUGGUCUUUUUUAAAGUUAUUUUUGGAAAAUGUUUCUUAAAAUUGCAUUGAACUGAGAGAGAGAAUUGUCUCUGGAGCCUUAUACAACAUCCGUUUUGCUGUGCUCUGAUGUCAUUAUAACAGUUGUGUCGCAAAUCAGUGGUUGUGAAGUAAUUGCUUUUGCUUAAUGGAAGUUUUGUGCAUAUUGGAAAAUGAAUUAAAGAAUGGAAGCUUA